rnacentral:rRNA from 1 species
AAUGAACGCUGGCGGCAUGCCUAACACAUGCAAGUCGAACGAAGGCUUCGGCCUUAGUGGCGCACGGGUGCGUAACGCGUGGGAAUCUACCCCUUGGUUCGGAAUAACAGCGAGAAAUUGCUGCUAAUACCGGAUAAUGACGUAAGUCCAAAGAUUUAUCGCCGAGGGAUGAGCCCGCGUAGGAUUAGCUAGUUGGUGUGGUAAAGGCGCACCAAGGCGACGAUCCUUAGCUGGUCUGAGAGGAUGAUCAGCCACACUGGGACUGAGACACGGCCCAGACCCCUACGGGAGGCAGCAGUGGGGAAUAUUGGACAAUGGGCGAAAGCCUGAUCCAGCAAUGCCGCGUGAGUGAUGAAGGCCUUAGGGUUGUAAAGCUCUUUUACCCGGGAUGAUAAUGACAGUACCGGGAGAAUAAGACUCCGGCUAACUCCGUGCCAGCAGCCGCGGUAAU